GACAGAGGGUGCAAACGUUGUUCGGAAUUACUGGGCGUAAAGCGCGUGUAGGCUGCUUCGCAAGUCGGAUGUGAAAGCCCUGGGCUCAACCCAGGAAGUGCAUUCGAAACUGCAGAGCUGGAGUCCUGGAGAGGAAGGCGGAAUUCCAGGUGUAGCGGUGAAAUGCGUAGAUAUCUGGAGGAACACCGGUGGCGAAGGCGGCGUUCUGGACUGCAACUGACACUGAGGAACGAAAGCCAGGGAGCAAACGGG
rnacentral:rRNA from 1 species